rnacentral:rRNA from 1 species
AGUGAACGCUGGCGGUAGGCCUAACACAUGCAAGUCGAACGGCAGCACAGUAAGAGCUUGCUCUUACGGGUGGCGAGUGGCGGACGGGUGAGGAAUACAUCGGAAUCUACUUUUUCGUGGGUGAUAACGUAGGGAAACUUACGCUAAUACCGCAUACGACCUACGGGUGAAAUCAGGGGAUCUUCGGACCUUGCGCGAUUGAAUGAGCCGAUGUCGGAUUAGCUAGUUGGCGGGGUAAAGGCCCACCAAGGCGACGAUCCGUAGCUGGUCUGAGAGGAUGAUCAGCCACACUGGAACUGAGACACGGUCCAGACUCCUACGGGAGGCAGCAGUGGGGAAUAUUGGACAAAGGGCGAAAGCCUGAUCCAGCCAUACCGCGUGGGUGAAGAAGGCCUUCGGGUUGUAAAGCCCUUUUGUUGGGAAAGAAAAGCAGCAGGUUAAUACCCCGCUGUUCUGACGGUACCCAAAGAAUAAGCACCGGCUAACUUCGUG